GGGGAUGUAGCUAAGUGGUAGAACAUAUGCUUUGCUUGUAUGAGAUCUUGGGUUCAAUCCCCAGCAUCUCCA
rfam:Alligator mississippiensis ScZkoYb_6, whole genome shotgun sequence.